rnacentral:rRNA from 1 species
GUCCUUAGUUACCAGCACGUUAUGGUGGGCGACUCUAAGGAGACUGCCGGUGACAAACCGGAGGAAGGUGGGGGAUGACGUCAAGUCAUCAUGGCCCUUACGGCCUGGGCUACACACGUGCUACAAUGGUCGGUACAAAGGGUUGCCAAGCCGCGAGGUGGAGCUAAUCCCAUAAAACCGAUCGUAGUCCGGAUCGCAGUCUGCAACUCGACUGCGUGAAGUCGGAAUCGCUAGUAAUCGUGAAUCAGAAUGUCACGGUGAAUACGUUCCCGGGCCUU